rnacentral:misc_RNA from 1 species
AAGUCGUAACAAGGUUUCCGUAGGUGAACCUGCGGAAGGAUCAUUACAAAUCGUUUUGGUGCUGGUGUGUGUUGGUGUUCAUGAGUGAGUGGUGUGGGGUUUGCACGGUUGUUGUGUGGCUCGCCUCUCCUGACACACACACACACACACACCAGUGUCACAUUCGCGCUUGUUGUGUUUGACAGAGUGAGCAACACAUCUCUCUCUCAUGUGAGUGAUGUGCUGCAAUGUGUGGGAAAGAAUAGACAACUUUUAACAAUGGAUCUCUUGGCUCUU